GCACUGAGAUCUUCUGAACAAAGAACCAGCCCCAGGGCCCCUGUGAAGGAGGGGGUGUUUUGCCAAUGAGUCAGGGGUUCCAGGGCUGCGGACACUGUUGGAAAUGGAAAGUGUGUGCUGCACAACUAACUCAUCAGUUAAGAGUGCUUAAUGCCAUUUUCCAGGAGAGGAAACAGGCACGGGGACAUUAAGUGACUUGGCUGAGACCACAGAGCUGUGCUGGAGAUUGAAUGCAGCGCCUUGUGCAUGUUACAAAAGUGCUGUACCACUGAGCAACAUCCUCAGGCCAAAAUGGGUGUAUUUAACUCUUCAGAGUGACAUAAUUGAAACACAGGAUGGCAAAAUCAAGAGUCGAGGUCAAAACAGACCUGCCUGCAGUCCUAGCUACUCAGCAGGCUGACGUGGGAAGAUCACUUGAGUCCAGAGGCCAGCCCUGGGCAGUACGGUGGAUAAAAAGUGAUGCUAAACUAGGCAUGGUGGAACACACCUAUAAUCCCAACACUCGGGAGGCUGAAGCAAGAGGAUCACAAGUUUG